AAUUCUCAACUUCAAAAGUUUUUGCUUCUGAAGCUUGGACUGUGGAGGUUUGCUGGCAUCAGUAGAUGUCUCCAGCUCCUCUCAAAUGCAUUAGCGGAAACCGGAUUAGUCGGACCUAAGCCUUGGUGUGAUAAUUAUCUACGCCUUGGUGUCUGGCAAAGAAGGCUCUUUGGUUGGGAUAGCUGCAACUUAAGCUUGCUCUGUCUGCUUUCAUUUCAAGGAGUUGUUCCUGGGGUAUCUGCUCUCUAACUGUCUGUUUCCACGGACAAACUACCAUUGACUU
rnacentral:misc_RNA from 1 species